rnacentral:rRNA from 1 species
GGAAGGUGGGGAUGACGUCAAAUCAUCAUGCCCCUUAUGAUUUGGGCUACACACGUGCUACAAUGGACAAUACAAAGGGCAGCGAAACCGCGAGGUCAAGCAAAUCCCAUAAAGUUGUUCUCAGUUCGGAUUGUAGUCUGCAACUCGACUACAUGAAGCUGGAAUCGCUAGUAAUCGUAGAUCAGCAUGCUACGGUGAAUACGUUCCCGGGUCUUGUACACACCGCCCGUCACACCACGAGAGUUUGUAACACCCGAAGCCGGUGGAGUAACCUUUUAGGAGCUAGCCGUCGAAGGUGGGACAAAUGAUUGGGGUGAAGUCGUAACAAGGUAGCCGUAUCGGAAGGUGCGGCUGGAUCACCUCCUUUCUAAGGA